GUUUGAUUUGUUUUUAAAGGAGAAAAAUAGAGGUUGUUAUUUGAAGACCUCUGUUUUUUUUUUCUUCUGUUUAUAGUGAAAUCACUUACCUGUGUUCUUUUUAUUUGAUAAGAAACAGGUUGUGUGAAUUUUUAUUUUUUUUCGUUGUUUAGAUAUGGCAGCUAUGGAUUUUUGGAAUAGUACAUGUGUAGAUUUUGAAUUAUCAUCAGAACCUGUUACUUCUGGUGGUGAAUUAAUGGAAGCUCUUGAACCUUUUAUGAAAAGUGCUUCUUCUUCUCCUUCUCCUCCACCUUCUACUUUUCCUCCUGUUUUCCCUUCUUCUUCUUCUUCAACUUUUCCUUCUUCAGAUUUUCAAUCUUUUCCUUCAUUUCCUCCUCCAACUCCUCCCAUUUCAUAUCCCUACACUUCUUCUUUUUACCCAUCUACUAUGAGCUCUGAGGUUUGUUCCACUUCCACAGAGAUGAAUUCCCAAAUCUUUUCAACUGGGUUUUCUGGGUAUGGAAUGGAGCAACAGGGUUCAAUUGGGCUGAAUCAGUUAACCCCAAUUCAGAUCCAGCAAAUUCAAGCUCAAAUCAACUUUCAAAACCAACAACAACAGCAGCAGCAGAUGAUGUUACAGACUGCCCAUCAUGCUUCCACCAUGAAUUUCUUGGCUCCAAAGCCGGUUCCAAUGAAGCAAUCUGGGUCGCCACCAAAACCCACGAAGCUCUACAGAGGUGUUAGACAACGCCACUGGGGUAAGUGGGUCGCUGAGAUCCGUUUGCCUAAGAACCGAACCCGCCUUUGGCUUGGUACAUUUGACACCGCUGAAGAAGCUGCUCUGGCUUACGACAAGGCGGCGUAUAUGCUUCGUGGUGACUUUGCUCGACUGAACUUCCCUCAACUCCGCCACAACGGCAACCUAAUCGGCGGCGACUUUGGUGAAUACAAUCCAUUGCAUUCCUCUGUUGAUGCUAAGCUAAAGGACAUAUGCCAAAGCUUGGCACAGGGGAAGAGCAUUGACUCUAAGAAGAAGAAAACCAAAGGGUCGUCGGCGGAGAAAGCGGCGGUGGUGAAGAUGGAGGAAGAGGAGAGCAAAACAGCAGAAGUUGGAUCCGAAAGUGACGGGUCCCAUUCCGGUUCCGGUGGAUCAUCGCCGGUGACCGAACUGAUAUUCCCGGAGUUCACUGAGGAAGAGCCAACUUGGGACAUGUCAGAAAAUUUUUUGUUGCAGAAGUAUCCAUCUCAUGAAAUUGAUUGGGCCUCUCUAUAAAAUUAGAAAAUAAUUAAGAAAAAAAUUAGUAGUAAUUAUCAAAUUAAGUCUAGGUUUAAUGAGGUCUUA
rnacentral:misc_RNA from 1 species